rnacentral:rRNA from 1 species
AAAUUGAAGAGUUUGAUCAUGGCUCAGAUUGAACGCUGGCGGCAGGCCUAACACAUGCAAGUCGAACGGUAACAGAAAGCAGCUUGCUGCUUUGCUGACGAGUGGCGGACGGGUGAGUAAUGUCUGGGAAACUGCCUGAUGGAGGGGGAUAACUACUGGAAACGGUAGCUAAUACCGCAUAACGUCGCAAGACCAAAGAGGGGGACCUUCGGGCCUCUUGCCAUCGGAUGUGCCCAGAUGGGAUUAGCUAGUAGGUGGGGUAACGGCUCACCUAGGCGACGAUCCCUAGCUG